rnacentral:lncRNA from 1 species
AAAAGUUAAUGUGGAAAAUAAGUGAAAGAAAUAAUAUAAAAAGUUGGUGGAGAAAGUAGGUGAAAUAAAAUAUAAUAAAAAAGGUAAGUGGAAAAAUUAGAAAAAUUAAGAAGAAGAAAAAAAAGUUUAAAUAAAAUUAAAUAUAUAAGAAAUGUAAUAGUAAAUGAGAAAAAGGUAGGUGAUGUGGAAGGUGAUGUGGAG